rnacentral:rRNA from 1 species
GAUGAACGCUGGCGGCGUGCCUAAUACAUGCAAGUAGAACGCUGAAGAGAGGAGCUUGCUCUUCUUGGAUUAGCGGCGAACGGGUGAGUAACGCGUAGAUAACCUGCCUUUUAGCCGGGGAUAACUACGGGAAACGAUAUCUAAUACCGCAUAAUAAUGGAUGACCCAUGUCACUUAUGUGAAAGGGGCAUUUGCUCCACUACAAGAUGGACCUGCGUUGUAUUAGCUAGUAGGGAAGGUAAAGGCCAACCAAGGCGACGAUACAUAGCCUCCCUGAGAGGGUGACCGCCCACAUUGGACUGUGAACACGCCCCAGCCCCCUCCGGGAGCCGCCAGAGGGGAACUUUGGACAUGGGGGGCAACCUGACCGCGCCCCGCCCGCUGAGUGGAGAAAGUUUUCCGGUCGUUAAACCCUUUUUUUUGUCAAAGAAGAGCGUGAGAGUGAAAAGUUCACACUGUGACGGUACCUAAACAGAAAGCGCCGGCUAACUACGUG